CCUACGGGGGGCAGCAGUGGGGAAUAUUGCACAAUGGGCGCAAGCCUGAUGCAGCGACGCCGCGUGAGGGAUGGAGGCCUUCGGGUUGUGAACCUCUUUCGCUCAUGGUCAAGCCGCAACUCAUGGUUGUGGUGAGGGUAGUGGGUAAAGAAGCGCCGGCUAACUACGUGCCAGCAGCCGCGGUAAUACGUAGGGCGCGAGCGUUGUCCGGAAUUAUUGGGCGUAAAGGGCUUGUAGGCGGUUGGUCGCGUCUGCCGUGAAAUCCUCUGGCUUAACUGGGGGCGUGCGGUGGGUACGGGCUGACUUGAGUGCGGUAGGGGAGACUGGAACUCCUGGUGUAGCGGUGGAAUGCGCAGAUAUCAGGAAGAACACCGGUGGCGAAGGCGGGUCUCUGGGCCGUUACUGACGCUGAGGAGCGAAAGCGUGGGGAGCGAACAGGAUUAGAUACCCGGGUAGUC
rnacentral:rRNA from 1 species